UGGGGAAUAUUGCGCAAUGGGCGAAAGCCUGACGCAGCCAUGCCGCGUGUGUGAAGAAGGCCUUAGGGUUGUAAAGCACUUUCAAUAGAGAGGAAAAGCUGCAGGUUAAUACCCUGUAGCCGUGACGUUACCUAUAGAAGAAGCACCGGCUAACUCCGUGCCAGCAGCCGCGGUAAUACGGAGGGUGCGAGCGUUAAUCGGAAUUACUGGGCGUAAAGCGCGCGUAGGCGGUUUGUUAAGUCAGCUGUGAAAGCCCUGGGCUCAACCUGGGAACUGCAGUUGAUACUGGCCGACUAGAGUACGAGAGAGGGAGGUAGAAUUCCACGUGUAGCGGUGAAAUGCGUAGAUAUGUGGAGGAAUACCAGUGGCGAAGGCGGCCUCCUGGCUCGAUACUGACGCUGAGGUGCGAAAGCGUGGGGAGCAAACAGG
rnacentral:rRNA from 1 species